GUAUCUUACGUAAUCCCUUAGAGUAAACAAUCCCUCGACUUCUGAAGAUUAGGUACUCGUGUCCACAGAUUUCUCCUACCUAUUUCACUUUGCAUAUUUCCACCAAAAAUGACGUCCUUUACGUACCAUGCUAUAAUAAUUCAUUCGGCUGGCUAAAACUGAUCGGAGCGCACAUCACCGAUAACAGCCAUAAAAAUUGAAAAUUGUUUCUUUGUUUUUUGUGCAAAAUUAGGCGUUAUGUAAGUAGCCGGGACAAUGGGGUAGGCUUAAACUUGCGGUGUCAUCAAACUCAUCUGCAUAAUUCCGAAGACAAUACAUAGGUAUUGUGCGUGAAUAGCCGAAGGAUUGCAGAAUAAAGAAGAAAAUGUCGAUUUACAACAAUUCGGUUAAGAGAUACUACGACUUCGUAUUUACGGAUCUCGCCGGUAAGAAAUUUUUAUACUAUCCCACAAUUUAGUUAAUAAAACGAUUUGUAAAAACAACGUAAUCUUAAAAUCGAUUCUAAAUACGCCAUUGCGUAACGAGGAACUAAUUUAUUUUUAUUAUUAUUGUCUCAAUUAGUAAGGGAAUAGUAAUUUCAUAAUAAAUUACAUUAAAACCUCUUUUUA